rnacentral:lncRNA from 1 species
CCCGAUCCAGGUCAAAUCUCGCUCAAGCAUCACAGGGCGCUCGCCCGGGCUUGAAUUAAGGCUUCUAUAAGGCUUGGGUGCCAGUUUUGGAUGCCUGGGCUACAAGCGGCCGUCACCCGGGCGCCAGGUCCGUCACCUGGGCGACGAGCGGUAUUUCCUGCUCGCAAAUUUUGCACUUCCAGGUGCUCUCCUGGGCUUCGGGUUUUCUCCCUUCUUGGUGUCUUUUUGACCCCUUUUGAGCUCCGUC